UGAUGUGAAAGGCAUGGGCUCAACCCGUGGACUGCAUUGGAAACUGUACGGCUUGAGUGUCGGGGAGGUAAGCGGAAUUCCCAGUGUAGCGGUGAAAUGCGUAGAUAUUGGGAGGAACACCGGAGGCGAAGGCGGCUUACUGGACAGUAACUGACACUGAGGCUCGAAAGCGUGGGGAGCAAACAGGAUUAGAUACCCUGGUAGUCCACGCCGUAAACGAUGAUUACUAGGUGUGGGGGGACUGACCCCUUCCGUGCCGCAGCUAACGCAAUAAGUAAUCCACCUGGGGAGUACGGCCGCAAGGCUGAAACUCAAAGGAAUUGACGGGGGCCCGCACAAGCAGUGGAGUAUGUGGUUUAAUUCGAAGCAACGCGAAGAACCUUACCAGGUCUUGACAUCCAACUAACGAGGUAGAGAUACAUCAGGUGCCCUUCGGGGAAAGUUGAGACAGGUGGUGCAUGGUUGUCGUCAGCUCGCGUCGUGAGAUGUUGGGUUAAGUCCCGCAACGGGCGCAACCCCUAUUGUUAGUUGCUACGCAAGAGCACUCUAGCGAGACUGCCGUUGACAAAACGGAGGAAGGUGGGGACGACGUCAAAUCAUCAUGCCCCUUACGUCCUGGGCUACACACGUAAUACAAUGGCGAUCAACAAAGGGAAGCAAAGCCGCGAGGCAGAGCAAAUCCCCAAAAGUCGUCUCAGUUCGGAUUGCAGGCUGCAACUCGCCUGUAUGAAGUCGGAAUUGCUAGUAAUCGUGGAUCAGCAUGCCACGGUGAAUACGUUCCCGGGCCUUGUACACACCGCCCGUCACACCAUGAGAGCCGGGAACACCCGAAGUCCGUAGUCUAACCGCAAGGAGGACGCGGCCGAAGGCAAGACCAAUGACUGGGGUGAAGUCGUAACUGCUAGUAAUCG
rnacentral:rRNA from 1 species